rnacentral:rRNA from 1 species
UACAGGGGGUGCAAACGUUGCUCGGAAUCAUUGGGCGUAAAGCGCACGUAGGCGGUUCGUUAUGUCGGAUGUGAAAGCCCUUGGCUUAACCGAGGAAGUGCAUCCGAAACUGGCGAGCUAGAGUACGAAAGAGGAUCGCGGAAUUCCCGGUGUAGAGGUGAAAUUCGUAGAUAUCGGGAGGAACACCGGUGGCGAAGGCGGCGAUCUGGGUCGAUACUGACGCUGAGGCACGAAAGCGUGGGGAGCAAACAGG